rnacentral:rRNA from 1 species
CACCUACGGGGGGCAGCAGUAGGGAAUCUUCCACAAUGGGCGCAAGCCUGAUGGAGCAACACCGCGUGAGUGAAGAAGGGUUUCGGCUCGUAAAACUCUUUUGUUGGAGAAGAACGUGCGUGAGAGUAACUGUUCACGCAGUGACGGUAUCCAACCAGAAAGGCACGGCUAACUAAGUGCCAGCAACCGCGGGAAUACGUAGGUGGCAAGCGUUAACCGGAUUUAUUGGGCGUAAAACGAGCGCAGGCGGUUGCUUUGGUC